GCCGCAUUGGUAUAGUGGUAACACACAUCCAUGGUAAGGAUGAGCGGGCAGUUCAAUUCUGCCAUGCGGCACCA
rnacentral:tRNA from 1 species